ensembl:lncRNA
AGAGCAUUUCAGGCAGAAGGAACAAUAAAUGCAAGAGUCCUGGCAUGGAAAUCUACUUGGCAUGCUCCUGAAGGUCAAGGAAUCCUGUGAUGUGCUGGGUUUGGCACGUAGCUCUCAUUGAAAGGGGCCUGGUGCUGCUAUUUCUGUUUCUCCCACAGUUUGUGGUCUUCUGCAUUUCUUAGAUGAAGGACUCAAGGCUCCAACAUGUGCCCUGCACCUUCUCUCCUACCUAUACUUGAAAGUAGAGUGAAACCUUCUGUCCAUCAUGAGAGACAGAGAGCUUCAGUGUACCAGCUAGAGGGAUGAUAGCAUCCAUGCUGAAUGUCAGCCAAGCAGCAGACAUCAGUUAAAAUCAUGGGGUUAUCAUGCCUCAUAACAUUGCUCCUCUUGCUGGAGGGCAGGACUUAAGAAGGAGAAAGGAACUGGGGCAAAGGAGAGAGGCAGGAAGGGGAAGCUGGAGGACAAUGAGAAAGAAAACGAGUGGUUUCAUCACAUUGCUUGGAUUUGGCCCAAUUCACCUUGAUGAAACGAUUGGAUUAGGAAAUGUGGAAUCUGUAACCUAUUUCUUUCCUGAUAUUGGGAAGUUUUGUCUUUAGUUAUCUUUUUCUUUUAUUCUUGUGGGUGGAAACUUAUGAAUUCAUAUUGACCUUUUGAAAGAGCCAGCUUUGGGUUUUGUUGAUUAUCUAUAUAUUUUUUCUAAUAUCUGUUCUGAUCUCUAUUUUCCUUAUUUUGCUGACAGUCUCACUACCAAAGGGGUUUAAUAAAGUCCCUGAGAGUUUCCCAAGUAUAGUGAAAUCUCACAGAUUAUAGGGCGCUGUUGUAGCCACAGUGAGUGAGAUUCACUGAGUGUAGAUCAUGGAAUCUGCACUUUUUAAAAGAAUUCCUCAGUUCUGAUUGACAUGGAGAACUUGUCUAGGCACUACUGGAGCAGAGGCAUGGUCUUAUUUCGCCUACUGCCAGGCUCUGUCUCCAUUGAGAGCGUGUGACAGGGGUUUCCUGCCUUCUCUGAUGCACAAACCCAAGACCUCCAGUCUAGGAGACUCACUGACAUGCUGUCUGCUGUUCUGAGGAGGCUCUUGUUUGUAGACCAUCGUUUCUACAAAACAUCCUGAUGCCAGUCUUGUCAAGCCUCCAUUUGAAAGAUUUCUGAAGAAAUCAGAUUUCUAUUUAGUGUGCAUUUCUGUGAUGUAGGAGCAAUUUGUAUUAUGUGGUAGCUGUUAUUCUACAUAUUUUGCUGGAGCCAUUGGAUCUUACCCUUGACUGAAUAAAUACAGAACACCCAGAGUUUUCCACAGCACGUCCAGACCUGUGGCUUCCUUACUGCUGGGCGACACUGAACAGGUUGCGUAGCGCCUCUGUGCCUCAUUCCUCUUUUAACCACAUGGAAACACUAGCUUCGAGUAAAUUUAACUACGUCAUGGGGCCGCGUAGACCACUGACCAUGUUAAGUCAUGGGAAAUUGUCAGCACAGUACGUGCCAUAUGGUGUGUUCCAAGUCAAUUCUAGCUGUUGUCAUUACUGUUGGUAAUAUUAUUGCUGUUCCACAUUUCCUUGGAGAUUGUUCCAGAGACACAGGGUCAAGACCACCUUUGACACACCGCAUGGACCUUGCACUAUCAUUUCAGGCCUUUCGGGGCCUCAAGAACGGAGUGUAUGAGGUAUGAGGGAGGGUUUUUGUUGUUGUUUUUUAGCACAGUGAGUAUCCCCCUGGUUUUAUGGGGAUAUUGUGAAGCUUAAAGGAAAUAUUUGGGUUUCAUCAUGUGCUCGUAUGAAAAACUUCAGUGAAUAUUCUAUGUGAAGUUAGACGUCUAAUGCCCUCUUCAUAGGAUUUGCAUCAUGACGGCAAAGCAGAUGGUCACUGGAGAGUUAUAGAACAUGAGUAUAUACAUCUUUAAAAGCAUUGCCCAGGGAAAUUAAAAGGCCAAGAAACCUCAUCACAUGGCCUUUCUUCCCAUUAUUUUUAUCAAGUCUAAUUCUCAAUCAAAUUGUGAAGAUCUGAAACUGAUGAAGAUAUGAAAACAUGAAUAGUCAGACGAUCAUCAGGAAUGCUUCAUUUCUUGUGUAGUUUUCACAUUUCCAGUUUUGUUGUGUUUCUUCUUUCUUCCACUAAUACUCAUGAUUGUUUAAUCCAUGGGUGAUGAUAUGGAUAUUUUCAGAGGUAAAUCCUGAGGAGAUGUUCAGCUGUGUUUUCGGUUGGAGAGUCUGAAGACAGGGGCACAGAACAGAGAUGACACAGAUCAGUUGGGACUGGGGAGGUAAAAGCAUGGGGUCAGGGACAGGGGGAUGUGAGUACAAGCAGAAACGGAAGUGAAGAGAGACAAGAAGAAAAGCUCACCCUUCUGGAUCGUGCUUAGCUCUCCAUAAGUGCACAACGUACAUAUAUGCUCCAUGUGUACUCAGAAAUCUUUGAGCACUCACAGCAACACUGUACGGUGAGCAGCUUUACUGCUAUCAUCCCUUUCUGCAGUUGAGGAGCAGAGACACACAGACGUUAAUGGGUGAAUGAAUUUGCACAAAGUCACCUAGCUGGCAAGAGCUGAGUCAGAUUGGUGCCCAGGCCAGAGAGAAACAGACAUGUGUGGUCUCUGACUCCCAGUCUGGAUACAGUGCAGUGUCUCGUCUACUGUGGGUCAGAAGGCAGAUCAACAUGUCCAUCCGCAUGAAACCCUACAAUGGAUCUGCCUAUGGACUGAACACAGUUUCUCCUAAGUGCAUGAAAGACCGUGGGGAGUCAUGUCAACAUGCACACAUCACAGAGAACAGUUCCUAGUGCAUGUCAAGCUGUAAACAUGUAUUUGCCGUGACAGACAUUAGUGGAACACCCUCAUCAUUCUGGAAAGUAGCAUAACCAUAGAAAUAAUAUAAUGAUAAACAGAACAACAAAUACAAUAUCAUGAAGACAUUACCUCACCCAUCUCCUAAUUUUCUUAAAUGCAGAUUCAACCUGAAGGGCAGUAGACCAUAUACUUAAAUUUUUUUUCACUUAAGCGUGACAUUCUAAAUAAUUUCCAAAUAACAUUUUAUUAGUAUUUUAUUUUGUUGUAUCUUCAUUGUUACAUGGGCAGUUUUUCUAUUAUAAUUGAAAGAUGGACUUUCUUAAAACUCAUUCUCUUCAGGUAUCCUGAGGUUUCAGCAUAAAAAGUUGUGUUGGUAUCCCUGCCAGGUGAAAACCCAAUCUGCACACUGAAGUCAGAAGUAUGAUUUUUGGUACAGUAGGUAGGGGGCUGUAGGGGAGAAGAGAGGUCCUGAUGGAAGGUUAGCUAAGCCUGCAAGUGUUGUGAAAAAGGUCACUGACUCUAUAGGCCCAAACCAAACAACAACUCACAGGUCCCUAGGAAGACACUGGUGUUCCUUGCACAGAAGUGUCUGUGUUAAGACUUUCAGACCAUUGCUCUUUUGGCUCUCAUGAGGCAGUGGGGCAGCCUGUGACACUUAUAACACAGUCCUGCUUUGACUCAGGCUGUGGAUGAGAGUCACAGCCUGCCCUGCAGCACCACCCCUUCUGUGGGUGAUCUGGAGCCCUAUUUGUGAUGUCUGGGAGUUGACAGAUUCUGACGGGCAAGGAGGAAGAAAAUACAUAGCUCGGGGGUACAUGCACCAUCCUUCACAGAGAUGCUGCUUACUGUUACUGUUACAGUAACCAGCUGGGAAUGAGAAGAUUUUGAUUUGGUGACUCAAAGAAUAAAUGUGGAAGUGAAUUCAAUGCAAAGGGAGAAAACAUAUUCAGUUCCGUUCAGUUCAGUUGAGUCGUUCAGUCAUGUCCGACUCUGCAACCCCAUGAAUCGCAGCAUGCCAGGCCUCCCUGUCCAUCACCAUCUCCCUGAGUUCACUCAGACUCACGUCCAUCGAGUCGGUGAUGCCAUCCAGCCAUCUCAUCCUCUGUCGUCCCCUUCUCCUCCUGCCCCCAAUCCCUCCCAGCAUCAGAGUCUUUUCCAAUGAGUCAACUCUUCACAUGAGGUGGCCAAAGUACUGGACUUUCAGCUUUAGCAUCAUUCCUUCCAAAGAACACCCAGGGCUGAUCUCCUUCAGAAUGGACUGGUUGGAUCUCCUUGCACUCCACAGGACUCUGAAGAGUCUUCUCCAACACCACAGUUCAAAAGCAUCAGAUUAAGAGGGGGUAAACAGCUACAACUCCCAUUUCUGUAGCAGGGCAGGGUGCUCCAUUACUGUUGCGAGAAGGCUCUGUGCUCUGAGCUCUGGGAGGGAGUGAUGAGUGUUCUAAGGACCCGCCAUCACCCUUAAGCAGGGGGCGCUGAGAGUGUGAAGAGAUAAGUCUCAGCCUUUAGUACUGACAGACACAGAAAGCUUCUUAGCCCCGUUGAGAGUGGGGCUGUGGCAUACUAGGGAAACUCAAAGGUAAGGUGGUGGUGGUGGUUCGUUUUCAAUCGCUCAGUCAUGUCCAACACUUUUCAUGAGACCCCAAUGGACUGUAGCACCCCAGGCUCCUCUGUCCUCCACUAUCUGCCAUAGUUUGUUCAAAUUCAUGUCCAUUGAGUCAGUGAUGCUAUCUAAUCAUCUCAUCCUCUACUUCCCCCUUCUCUAUUUGCCUUCAAUCCUUCCCAGUGAAAGCUUGUUGCUGAACCAUGAAAGACCCCAGGAUUCUUGGCCUCUGGAGGAGAAGACUUCAAUCUGGGGCCAGAGACAAGACUUGAUGGCUCAGAGCUUUUGUGUAAUAAAGUUUCAUUAAAGUAUAGAAGAGAUAGAGAAAGCUUCUGACAUAGACAUCAGAAGGGGGUGCUGAAAGAGUGCCCUCCUUCUAGUCUUUAGUUGGAUGUUGUAUGGCUGCUAGCAGUCUGCUAAUUAAAGAAAGGAAAUGUCUCAAAACUCAGAGAAUGUCACCAGGCCCCUCACCCACAACAUGCAUUUUGGGAUAAACAUUGGCACCAGGAUUGUUAGAUGUCAUCAGAUUAAGAAGAGGCAUCACAUAUGACUGUUGUGGAAGGUAUUCGCAGACUUGGAGAAAGUCUUUUCCUUGAAGUGGAGACGUCCACCAUGGGAAGCUGCCGGGAGCCAGCGUGAGGAACUCCGCCCGUGGCAAAGGUCAUGAGGAAGGAGGCUUCGGCAUACGCAAAGGUGGGAUCAAGCCUAAGGAAACCCGCUGUUCCCGAGCAUCUACCCCCAAAACCAGAGUCUGUCUACUUUACUGCUUUAUGCUCUCACCUACAGCUCUGACUUUAUGGGGGGCUGUCCCCCACCUCUCUCGGAGAAGGAGUUAACCUACAGCUCCAGUUAAUAAAAAUUCCUGGGCGUGACAGGGAUGUCUCAGGUCAAUCCUCUCUGCUGGCAGACCAGCUUGUGUGACAGGAUUAUCCCCACUCUUGCUACUAGGUACAUGAUUGUUUACAACCUCUCAACCAUAAGCAGCACAGAGAGUUUGGAGUAUUUUGAAAGUCUUAGUUACCAUUGGGUUUUUCUAAAGAUAAAAAUCAUGUUGGUGAAGGGUUUUUCAUUUAUUGGGCCAACGUUUGCUGCUAAAUCCCCUGCCCGUAUACAUGUUAAUGAAUAUAUAACUAGCAUAUAGGAGAAAUAAGUAUUAACCUUUAAGAUUAGUCAUGUUAACUUUAGGCUAAGUAAAUUCCUUUCUUAAUUGUAACCCACUACACCCUCACCCUAUAGGAAUGCAACUUUAUCUGGUACCUUCAGAGGGUGGUGCCUGGUUUAAGAAAAAUCACCCCUGGAAAAUAAGUUUCUGGUUGACUGACCAUUAUCAGAAAAGAAAGGAUCAUAAAAUGUCAGCAGGCCUCAUAGCCAGAAGAUGAUGUAAA